rnacentral:rRNA from 1 species
AUACGGAGGUGGCAAACGUUGCUCGGAAUCACUGGGCUUAAAGGGCGCGUAGGCGGUUCAGCAAGUCUUGCGUGAAAUCCCCCGGCUCAACUGGGGAACUGCGUAGGAAACUGUUGGACUUGAGUUCGGGAGAGGGAAGCGGAAUUCCGGGUGUAGCGGUGAAAUGCGUAGAUAUCCGGAGGAACACCGGUGGCGAAGGCGGCUUCCUGGACCGAUACUGACGCUGAGGCGCGAAAGCUAGGGUAGCAAACGGGAUUAGAAACCCCAGUAGUCC